rnacentral:rRNA from 1 species
UAGCUAUGUACGGAAUGGAUAAGCGCUGAAAGCAUCUAAGCGCGAAGCCAACUUCAAGAUAAGAUUUCCCACCGCAAGGGUAAGACUCCAGAAAGACUAUCUGGUUGAUAGGUCGAAGGUGUAAGUGCAGCAAUGUAUUUAGCUUAUCGAUACUAAUAGGUCGAGGACUUGACCAAUAUUUAUU